AAAUCUGUUCUUAUCAGUUUAAUAUCUGGAACAGGGAGAUGGAAGAAGAGCUUGCUCUGUCCACUCCACGCAUCGACCUGGUAUUGCAGUACCUCCAGGACCGGUGCACCUCUC
rnacentral:snRNA from 1 species